GAUCCUUUAAUGCUUUGCAGCACGCUCUGAGACUCGCCAGCAGAAGACGGUGCUCCUAUGGGCUGUGAAGCUGAGGGCCACCAGGUGCAGAGCAGUGCCCAUGGCGUGAGAGUGGUCCAGAACAAGGACGAAAACCACAACCUCUGGAGCAGCCAGAGCAGGCACUGAACACCACGAAACUGAUGUCACUUCUACACAGGACCAGACCCAGGCUGGCGUGAGACCUGGUGCUGUAUUACUCUUUGCUUUUGGAUCCCCUUCAGCUGCGUUGCUCAGAGAGGGCAGACGGGUGGAAGAUUAUUUACAGCAAUCAUUACAGAAAUUUGGUCCGGCAUGAGUUGGUUUUUCCUUCCAUUGUUUCUGAGCUGGCAUUAAACUUCUGAGCCAAAACCUUGUCGUUCCACCUUUGCCUCUACACAGAAGGAACACUGCAUUGUGUUGUCUCCAAGCAUAGAAAGAAAGGGCUAAGGGUGCCAAUGCAGUAAUUACACCUUUAGCAGACUUCUUAGAAGUUGCUCUAUUAAAAGACCCAUUUUUCAUUAGCAAAAAGUAAAGAAGGCUGGGCAAGUGCACCAACCUCGGACUUCUCACUGCUAAUUAAAUAGUAGUAAUAUUAAUUUAGCAGAAAGCCAAAGACCUCAUUUUUCAAGAUAGUUAUCCACCUUACUCUCCAUAACUUUUACCAGAAGCAGUAAAAUGCUUACCCUCCCCAACACAACGAAAAUGAUCAGAUGAAUGUACACAUGAAGGCAAUUCAUUGAGAAAACAACUAUCAUAUCACAAACAACAACUAUGUUAUCUGCAAAGUUUAUAGCCUCUACCUAAUUUGAUUUAAAUUAUCCCUGUUCUGUGGGUCAUCUGUGUGGUUUGCAACCAGGUUAUGUCGUGAGAAAUCAGAUUAAUCACCUCUGUGUGCUGCUGCUGCUGAAGAAAAGCCACAGAUAG
ensembl:lncRNA